UAUACAAUCACAGUUUGAUUGUUUUCACAUUGGCUUGUUUUCAAUAUAUUUGUGCCUUUUCGGCAGUUUAUUAUUGCCGUACAUGUCUAUUCUGUGAUGUCCUCUGUUCCAAUUCCUCCUUGCUUCCCCCGGACACCUGCCAAAGCCAGUCAACCAUCCGCCGUGACCACAAUUGCCACAAUCGUCACAAUGCUCCGGCUUGCUCCAUUCUCCCGUUCUCUGUCGCCUCUCCCUUCCAUUCUCCCUAUCCUCUGCCUUCCUUCUCGCUCAGACUGCUGCGCGCCUCUUCUUCGCAAGGUUGCUCCGUGCCUUGCCCAAUAACCUCGCAAACUCCCAGCUCUCCAAUAGUCGUUUCUAGAUGCCAUCGGGCUGCGAUUCGCUGAUUGCCAGCCGUGGGGUCAUAAUCUGCCCUCGCAUUGCCGGUUGGACUCUCUAGCAGGGUCUAUCUCAAAGAGGCUACGGCAUCUUCUAUAAGGAAAAGCUGCUUUCUAAUUGGUGACGAUUCUCUUGAUCUCAAUUUCCAUCUAUCAGGUGGCCUCUAAUUUCACUCUAAUGAACUAUUAUUGACUUGUAAAAAUAGGAAUCGGUGUAGCAACGCCCUUCCAUCCAGAAACUUGAGGUUCUGUGUUCGAUGCUACUGUGGUUUUCUAUGCCUCUUGUACUCUGACUCCUAUUUUUGGUUCUUCCUUUGACCAAAGAAAGAAUUAUAUAUUCAUUUUUCAAUAAGGAGUGAUGCAUUGCCUACUCUUUCCAUGUGGCAUAGAGGCAAAAACAAGGUAAGCAUAGAAAGAUAGAUACAUACAUUCAUGCCCAUACAUAUGCCUCCCCUGUACUUCAAAACCAGCAAGGUAAGAAGUGAUGGGGCUGGGAUGAUUAUGCUACUGUCCAUAUCUUGGCAUAGUGAUUCUUGGGUUCGUGUCGCCAAGUAUAAAAAUGACGACACCAUACAUUUAUCCUAUUCAUUGACAUAUGAAGGCUGGUAAUGGAAGUUUAAGAUCAACUCAGAUAUAGAAAGACAAACCCCAAAAACUGCACAAGGAAGUUUAGGUCUUUUAAACCUUUCCUAAAGACUCAUCCUAUUCCAACCAAAAGGACAGUCAAGAAAAGCUUUCUUUUAAGAAAAUAUCGAACAUUGUGUUGUACUUUGGUUUCAGGUUCCGAUAAAUCCUCUAUUGAUGUGAUAAAAGGAAGUUCUUUGACAAUUUCGUGUAUUUUAGUUUGCGUACCAUAAGCUGGAUUUUAGAAUUGGGGUUGACAGGUCAUAAUUGUAUAUACUUCAUCCUAUGUUUUUCAAGGUUUAACUGGUGUUUUUUGUUGUUGACGAACAAAGUUUAUUUGGAAUUUCUUCAACUGUUAAUAUUUAUUUUCUUUGACAUUAUAUGCUUCGGUAGCCAUGGAGCAAAAGUCUAAUUUGGUGGAUCACCUCUUGGGGAUCAAGGCCUACCCGAGGAUCAAACAAUGCUAAUGAUAUACAACGGUAAGUUAGGUGAGUUGUUACUAUUAUAUUGCACAUUCUCUAAGUCCAUUUGUCUUAUAGUUUUAGACUUUUAGUAAGGUGUGGAUUCUAGCAGCGAAUUGUGCAUUGAAUCUUUGUUGCUGUACAGGAUUCUCAUCUCCUGGUUGAGUUGUAACCUCUUUAGCUGAACGUACAAUCUCAGUUUUGGUUUGCUUCUGGUUUUCAAAUCAAAUCUCUUGCAACCCUUUUUCAUAUUUCUAACAUAUUAAAGUAUGAACUCAUAUGCAAAAGGACUUCCUUUUCCUUUAGUGGAAAGCAAGACUAAGCUUGAUGCUUGGAAUAUGUUGGAUGUGAUUAACAGUUACAACUAUGCUUUAUACUCUGGUUAAUGCUUGAGGCUUGGAAUAUUUUUUCUUUAUUGUGCCUCCAUGGUGCUUUUGUAACUA